UUCUUCACUCAUCCCUCUGGCUUCUCUACAAACACCAUAGAUACAUGUUUCUUUGAAGAAGAGGGUUUUAUUUGGAGGUUCUUUUUCUUCUAUCGACACCACCGUUUCCUCUUUCUUUCAUUCCCCGACGUUCAACAAUCCUCUGCGUUUCCCUCUUCCUCUGUUAGGUAUUUUAAAUUAGGCUAACAUCUUCAGGCCUCCCUUCAUCACUGGGGCUAUUGGGUUGUACCUUUAUUCUUUGUAGUUGUAGUAUGACGUCUGGUCCGAUGUCAGUUUGGUUCACCAUCAUCAUCGAUCAAGAAAACGAGUACAUGUCUUUCUCCUCUGAUUUCUAGGCUGCCACCUAAUAGAAAGCACCCAUCAAAUGAAGAUGAUUGGUCCAACAAUAGAUUUUUAGAGAUUGAAAAUUGAUUUUUGGGGGCAUAAGGAAAGUAAGCUUGAAUCUUAAUCAAAUGAGGAUACUUCCAAGAGGUGUUGUGAUUUUUUUAACAAUUUAUAUGCUGAGCUUUUUGUUUCAAGGCCACUACAAAGAUACGCUUUUAGUUCCAUUGAAUCUCAAAUAAGGGUGUUGGGUGAUUUCUGUCUUCUAUCCACUGAAUUACAAAAGAUAUGAGAAAUGAUGGGAUUAACUUACUUCAUGUUGAAUCAAUCAAAAAAGAUGCUGAAUAUUGCACAGAAACACCUUCAGUACUUAUUUAGUAUGCCUGGUAGAUCUUUACAUCAGGGAAGGAAAUGCCUCAUGGUGGAUUGAAAUGUUAAAAUCAAGUGGUCAAUAUAAAGAGGUGCUGAUGUAUACUUUCGUAUCUCUGAUGAGGAACCUCUUCAUUCAGCUGUGAUUAUUGUUGUUGUUACCUUUUAUUUUAGCCAAACGAAUUAUGUUAAGAAAGUAUGGAUUUCAUCUCAUUCUUUCUGGUGGUGAUCUGUACAAGAAAUGGGAUCAGGUCAUUCUAUGAGUAAUGGUGCAAUGAAUCCAAAGAGCAAGAGAAACACACUUGCACCUGAUCAUGAAUCAAAUCCAUGGGCAUUUUAUGUUUGGGCAAUUUUAGUAGGAUCUUAUACAAUUCAACAUAUGCAAAGAGGCAGUAUGUUGUCUCAGUUAAAACAUCCGAAUACAUGUCUUUCAAAAACCAAUGGAAGAGUAUUUCUCCGGAACAGGCUAAAAGGUUUACCAAAAUUAGAGAAAGGGAGGGUUUGAUCGAGAAUGAUGUGGUAAGGACUUGACAGCUCAUUGUUGUUCUAUGAGGGUGAUGGUAAUCCAAAUGUAUGCAUUUUGCAUGAUAUAUUGUUGACUUACUCGUGCUACAACUUUGAUCUUGGUUAUUGCCAGCUCAUUUCACAACUACUUCAAACAAAACGACUGCUUCUGUUUCUACUGGAUUCUGAUAUAAUUCAAAAAGGCAAGAAAUGAUGGGAUUAACUUACUUCAUGUUGAUUCAAUCAAAUAAAGAUGUUGAAUAUUGCAUGGAAAACACCUUCAGCAGUUAUUUAGUGGACCCUUUCUUAUUUAGCUUUUCUGUUAAUGUUUAAAGGUACAUUAUUGAAUCUCAGAAAAGGGUAUUGGGUGAUUAUGCCUUCAUGUUAUGAAAUUAUGAACUUGCUUUAUCAAAUUGCCACUGAUUACAACCUGACAAAGCAUGGAAACAAUAUGUAAGUGAACAGGAAUUGAUGUGCUUUUUUAUCAAAAAAAAUGUUGAAUAUCGCAUGAAAACGCCUUCAGAACUUAUUUGGUACACCUGUUGCAGUUGCUCAGAGAUUCCUUCUGAUAAGAUAGUUUAUUGAAAUGAUGCUACAAUCUUCAAGAACUCAUAUUGACUAGAAAUAUAGGAAAUGAUGGGAUUAACAUACUUGAUGUUGUUGAAUCAAUCAAAAAAAGAUGUGCUUUUAUUCAGUGAAUUGGGACAUUAGGGAAGGAAAUGUUAAAAUCAAGUGGUCAAUAUAAAGAGAGGGUGUUUGUGUGUACUUUCUUAUCUCUGAUGAGGACCUCUUCAUUCAGCUGUUGUGCUUGAACAAGCAUCUUAUUGUUGUUACCUUUUGUUUUUUUAGCCAAACGAAUUAUGUUAAGAAAGUAUGGAUUUCAUCUCAUUCUUUCUGGUGGUGAUCUGUACAAGAAACGGAGGGGAUCAGGUGUAAGAAUGCAGUGAAGUCUGAGAGAAACACUGUUUAAUGAUGCAAAGUUAAAGGUCUAUCAUUCCCUUCUCUUUACUUGUAUAGUGGAGGAGUCUGGCUUAUCUGUCAUACAUUUAAGGAGCAUAACUAUACCCUAAUCCCCGAAAAGAUUCUCUGAAAAUAUGCUCCUAUUAUGGAUAAAGAAUAAAUGGUCAAGCUUUUUGGAUUAUGAAGGCUUAGUCAUGGAUCCAGAUGCUUUAAAACAGAGAAUAUUCUAUAGGGGCAAAAAAAGGUUUAUGCAUUCUUACACAGAGGCAGUAUGUUGUCUCAGCUAAAACAUUAGAAUACAUGACUAUCAAAAACCAAUUGCAGGGUAUAAAAAGGUUUACAGAAAUUAGAGAAAGGAAGGGUUUGAUUGAGAAAGAUGUGGUAUGAAAAUAACCAUACAUUUCAAAUGUGGUUUUUUUUAUUUAAGUAUUUUAUUUUUGUUUUUAAGGUAAUGAUAUAUUGUUGACUUACUCAUUCUACAACUUUGAUCUUGGUUAUUGCCAGGUGUUUUAUUGGAAUGAUUAGGUCCAAAUUUCAACCGUGAUCAAAAAGCCAUGCACUCUCAACUAUUUCUUUGCGCUAUCAAAUGUCCUCCCUCUAUCUCAAUAUAUAACAAGGGUAUUUUGGUCUUUUAAUAAAGAGGGAGGAAUGAAUCAAAACUGGCAUUCCUUCCGCCUGCCCCUAUAAAUAAAUGGUUCAAGUCCAUCAAUAUAUGAAAUACCAAGGAAUUUGACAAAGUUGCAUUCCGUCCUAAUUUUCAACCAAAGGCACCAUUCAAUGGAAUCUCGAAUUCCAAUCCCACCGGUAUCCACAAUUCCAGUUCCUAGCUGUGAUUAUCAAACAUGGAAUUUCAAGAAAUCCAACAGAAGUGUAUUCCAUCCAAACUGUCAACCAAACACGUCAAGAAAUGGAAUCUCGAAUUCCAACUCUGCCGGAAUCCGCGAUUCCGUUUCUUAGCAUGUCUAUUAUUGUUUUGAUAGGGCAGCUGGUGGAACUAUUCAACAGCCCAUUACACAACUACUUCAGACAAAACAACUGCUUUCUGUUUCUGUUGGAUUCUGAUCCAACUCAAAAGGCAAGUAAAUUUACUCCUCUACCCUUGCUAAUUAAAAAGUAUCACAUGGUUUCAGGGUAUUUGAAUACGAUAAAACAUUAAGGUUAUGGGAGGUGUUACGGACAAGGUUUGCCACAUGAAUAAGGAAAGUCAAAGAUGGAAUUCUAAUGUUUGUCCAACAGUGACAAGGAAAAUGAAUCGCUUUGGAAAGAAUAUGAGAUUUUUCAUAGUCAAGGAAAUGUGUUUGAAGCUAGAUGAGGAUGUGAAAAUUACAUGGUGGACUUAGAUGCUACGGCCUGAUCAUGUAAGUUGUGGGAUUUGUCUGGAAUUCCAUGUGUACAGAAAAUUAUUGCAAUUAAUUUUAUCCAUCAAACACCUUAUGGAUAUAUUAAUUAAUACUUUUCUAAAGAUAAAUAUCUUGAAUGUUACUCUUCAAACAUACAUGUUAAUGGAAACAAUAUUUGGCCCCAAACUCAUUACAUUAAGCCCUUGCCCCCCAUUGGCAAUGAGGAUGGUGGUUCUUCUUCGUCUACAAAUCUAGUCACUUUGGAGUAGUUGGUUAGAUAGAAAGGGGGUGUAGUGGGGAUUAUAUAGGUUGCCACUUUUGUAAACAUGUUUUGGUGUUUUUUUAUAUGUACAUUAAUUAAUAAUUAUUACACCCGUUGAUUGCA